CCUACGGGAGGCAGCAGUGAGGAAUAUUGGUCAAUGGCCGGAAGGCUGAACCAGCCAAGCCGCGUGAAGGACGAAGGUGCCAAGCAUUGUAAACUUCUUUUGUCAAGGGACAAAAUCAGGCUCGAGAACCUGACCGAAGGUACUUGAAGAAAAAGCAUCGGCUAACUCCGUGCCAGUAGCCGCGGUACUACGGAGGAUGCGAGCGUUAUCCGGAUUUAUUGUGUUUAAAGGGUGCGUAGGCGGGCUGUUAAGUCAGCGGUAAACGCCCGGGGCGCAAGCCCGGCGAGACGUUGAAAAUGGUUGUCUUGAGAUGGCGAGAGGUAUGCGGAAUGCGCAGUGUAGCGGUGAAAUGCUUAGAUAUUGCGCAGAACUCCGAUUGCGAAGGCAGCAUACCGGCGGCGAUCUGACGCUGAGGCACGAAAGCGUGGGUAUCGAACAGGAUUAGAUACCCCAGUAGUC
rnacentral:rRNA from 1 species